GUGAAGAAGGCCUUCGGGUUGUAAAGCACUUUCGGACGGAACGAAAUCGCGCGCAUGAAUAGUGCGCGUGGAUGACGGUACCGUAAGAAGAAGCACCGGCUAACUACGUGCCAGCAGCCGCGGUAAUACGUAGGGUGCAAGCGUUAAUCGGAAUUACUGGGCGUAAAGGGUGCGCAGGCGGCCUCGCAUGUCAGGCGUGAAAUCCCCGGGCUCAACCUGGGAAUGGCGCUUGAAACUACGAGGCUGGAGUGUGGCAGAGGGAGGUGGAAUUCCACGUGUAGCGGUGAAAUGCGUAGAGAUGUGGAGGAACACCGAUGGCGAAGGCAGCCUCCUGGGCCAACACUGACGCUCAUGCACGAAAGCGUGGGGAGCAAACAGGAUUAGAUACCCUGGUAGUCCACGCCCUAAACGAUGACGACUAGUUGUUGGGGGAGUUAAAUCCCUUAGUAACGCAGCUAACGCGUGAAGUCGUCCGCCUGGGGAGUACGGUCGCAAGAUUA
rnacentral:rRNA from 1 species